rnacentral:rRNA from 1 species
CCUACGGGAGGCAGCAGUGAGGAAUAUUGGUCAAUGGGCGCGAGCCUGAACCAGCCAAGUAGCGUGAAGGAUGACUGCCCUACGGGUGGUAAACUUCUUUUAUAAAGGAAUAAAGUGAGGCACGUGUGCCUUUUUGUAUGUAUGGUAUGAAUAAGGAUCGGCUAACUCCGGGCCAGCAGCCGCGGUAAUACGGAGGAUCCGAGCGUUAUCCGGAUUGAUUGGGUUUAAAGGGAGCGUAGAGGGGUUGUUAAGUCAGUUGUGAAAGUUUGCGGCUCAACCGUAAAAUUGCAAUUGUUACUGGCAGCCUUGCGUACAGUUGCGGUCGGCGGCCUUCGUGGUGUAGCGGU